rnacentral:rRNA from 1 species
UACGUAGGGUGCAAGCGUUGUCCGGAAUUAUUGGGCGUAAAGAGCUUGUAGGCGGUUUGUCGCGUCUGCUGUGAAAAUCCGGGGCUCAACCCCGGACUUGCAGUGGGUACGGGCAGACUAGAGUGUGGUAGGGGAGACUGGAAUUCCUGGUGUAGCGGUGGAGUGCGCAGGAUAUCAGGAGGAACACCGAUGGCGAAGGCAGAUCUCUGGGCCGUAACUGACGCUGAGGAGCGAAAGCGUGGGGAGCGAACAGG